CCAGGACCCAGCCCAGGACCCAGCCCAGGACCCAGCCCAGGACGCAGCCCAGGACCUAGCCCAGGAGACCCUGAGAACAUGCACCCAAGCUUCUUUCACUCAGCACGACGCCUUCCGGGUCCCUCCACACGGUCUCCUGUGCCCAUGCGUUGCUCCAUUUCACACUGAGCAACUGGCCACUGUGGAGUCAUCUUUUCAGCUGCUGAGGGACAUGUGGGCGGUUUCCAUCUGCAGCCAUUUUCCUGCUGCGCAGAUGCCCUUCCAGAUGAAACUCCUACUCCUACUCAUCCUUCAAAACCCAGCUAAAUGACACUUCCUCUGGAAAGCCUUCCCCAGCUCUCUAGCAGGCAGCUGAGCCCAGCUUACAUUUCCAACAGGCCCUCAGUGCCCGGGAUUGGAGCCGUGCGCUCCUUGAGGGCAGGGAUUGCGCUUCGUUCAUCCCGAUUCCAUGGAGAAGUCGUAGGAGUUGCUCGGUGCGCCUGCUGAAUGGUAGGUGGGCUGUGUGGGCUGCUGAGUUGAACACCUCGCCCUUCCCUGCAGUUUCAUUCCAGCAACCCAAGCGGUGAGCAUGGGUGCGGCUGUUUUACUAGGGCGCAAGCAGGCUCGCAGAGGCGGGCUCUGCUGCUUCAAGGCCGUACCACAGCCAGGGGCUGGACCUGGGGGUUAGUCCCAGCUUCGCAAGCACAGAUCUUUCUGGAGAGCACACUGUAUCUCUCUUCUGGGCUCAAGUGGGCCCUGGGGGUGGGCAGUGCAUCUGACCACGCAGCCUGUCCUCCUGCCCUUGCACCCGUGGCCCCAUGGACCCUGGGCUGGCUCUCAGGUGUGGCAUCUCCACCUUCCCCCACAGGCCUGGCACCCACCCCCGAGGGCUCCCACACAGAUGCGCAGAUAUGCUGGGAGCUCCUUCCCUCAGGCUGGCCCCCAGUUUGUCCCCUUGAGAGGUCCUUGGGAAGCAUUGUGGCCUGAGGCUUCCUGUGUGAGAGACUCGUGGGGGGUCACGCAGCGGGGAAAGAGGGAAGUGAACAGAGAGAAGGUUCUAGAACUAUUAGCCAUUGCAGGGAUGAGGUACGAGGAAAGUGGCUCGGGCCUACAAUCCUAGCACUUUA
rnacentral:lncRNA from 13 species